CGGAGCUGAUGGCGGGGCCGCCGGAAGAGGCGGAAGGGUUUCGCUGGCGGACCCAGCAGGGCGGAAGUCGCUGAGGCGAACGGGGGUGGCGGCGGCAGCGAGCGACGAUGAACAACAAAUUCGACGCAUUGAAAGAUGAUGAUAGUGGAGACCAUGACCAGAAUGAGGAAAAUAACACACAGAAAGACAGUGAGAAGGAAAAGAAUGACCGUGAGAAACCACAGAGUACUACCAAGAGGAAGGCUGUGGUUCCGGGGCCAGCUGAGCACCCCUUGCAGUAUAACUACACCUUCUGGUACUCCCGACGGACCCCCGGGCGGCCCACCAGCUCCCAGAGUUAUGAACAGAACAUCAAACAGAUUGGCACCUUUGCCUCUGUGGAACAGUUCUGGCGGUUUUACAGUCACAUGGUACGUCCUGGGGACCUGACAGGCCACAGUGACUUCCAUCUUUUCAAAGAGGGCAUCAAACCCAUGUGGGAGGAUGAUGCCAACAAAAAUGGUGGUAAAUGGAUUAUCCGUCUGCGGAAGGGCUUAGCGUCACGGUGCUGGGAGAAUCUUAUUCUGGCCAUGUUGGGAGAGCAGUUCAUGGUGGGGGAAGAAAUCUGUGGGGCCGUCGUCUCUGUCCGAUUCCAGGAGGACAUCAUCUCCAUAUGGAACAAGACAGCCAGCGACCAGGCCACGACAGCCCGGAUACGCGACACGUUACGAAGAGUGCUCAACCUACCUCCCAACACCAUCAUGGAAUAUAAAACCCACACCGAUAGCAUCAAGGCCUGGGAGGAGUUUCAUGGCCUGGUGAACAGCAGUGGCCGCUGAUCGAACGCUCCCCCUCCCUCUGUCACACCCAGGCAUUUUCUGUUGAGGUGCUGUUGGCUAUUUUGCUAACGAGUUCUUCCUCUGUAUGAGGCACUUAUAUCCCAGACCUGGUCCCAGGAGGCUGAGAGGGAUAAUUCAAGCUUUCGAAACACAAAAAUCACAUUGUGAGAACAAGAGUUGGCACUAAGCUCCUCUCUCCGUGUUGAAAGCACUGAGAGUGCCCUCCGACCUCUGAAGGGACUCAUGGGCCACUCUCGCACUCCUCCCUGGGGGAAGGAUCAUCUGAAGCCCUCCAGCAGCGGUGACAAUAGAGGCCGAUUUUGUCUUACACAAACUUUUUUUUAGCAGUGGGGCGGGAGGCAGCCUUUCAAUUAGCGGUGGGCCCUUGGGGCCGCAUCUUGCAGCACUUUCCUCUCUUUCUCUACAUGGCACGCAGGAUCUCUGGGAUUCUGCCUCAACAUCAGAGCCUUUUGCUGAGGGAUACCAGUAUUAUAAAUCUCUCUGCAGCUGGGAGAAGCAUCCCAGUUGAGAGUCAGCCCUGUGGUUUUCAAAUGCCCCUUUUCAGUUCUGCCAAUAAAUUAUUGGGUCUCUUUGUUUCUUUCA